UACGGAGGGUGCGAGCGUUGUCCGGAAUCACUGGGCGUAAAGGGCGCGUAGGCGGCCUGAUAAGUAGGGGGGUGAAAAUCCUGCGGCUUAACCGCAGGGCUGCCUUCUAAACUGUCAGGCUCGAGCACAGUAGAGGCAGGUGGAAUUCCCGGUGUAGCGGUGGAAUGCGUAGAGAUCGGGAAGAACAUCAGUGGCGAAGGCGGCCUGCUGGGCUGUUGCUGACGCUGAGGCGCGACAGCGUGGGGAGCAAACAGG
rnacentral:rRNA from 1 species